UACGUAGGGUGCAAGCGUUAAUCGGAAUUACUGGGCGUAAAGCGUGCGCAGGCCGCUAGUGUAAGACAGAUGUGAAAUCCCCGGGCUUAACCUGGGAACUGCAUUCGAUACUGGAUAGCUAGAGUUCGGCAGAGGGAAGCGGAAUUUCCGGGUGUAGCGGUGAAAUGCGUAGAUAUCGGAAGGAACAUCAGUGGCGAAAGCGGCUUCCUGGACCAGAACUGACGAUCAGGCACGAAAGCGUGGGGAGCAAACAGGG
rnacentral:rRNA from 1 species